AAUCCAUGGUGUGGACAUUGCCUCUUCAAUUCCUUAAAUCUCUCCCAAGACUCAGUGAGGGACUCAGUUGCCAGUUGCUUAAAGUUUUGAAUUGCCCUUCUCAUACU
rfam:Ipomoea nil DNA, scaffold: scaffold0755, cultivar: Tokyo-kokei standard.